UACGAGGGGAGCAAGCGUUGUUCGGAUUUACUGGGCGUAAAGGGCGCGUAGGCGGCGUGACAAGUCACUUGUGAAAUCUCCGGGCUUAACUCGGAACGGUCAAGUGAUACUGUCGUGCUAGAGUACAGAAGGGGCAACUGGAAUUCUUGGUGUAGCGGUGAAAUGCGUAGAUAUCAAGAGGAACACCUGAGGUGAAGACGGGUUGCUGGGCUGAAACUGACGCUGACAGCGCGAAAGCCAGGGGAGCAAACGGG
rnacentral:rRNA from 1 species